rnacentral:rRNA from 1 species
UACGUAGGUGGCAAGCGUUGUCCGGAUUUAUUGGGUUUAAAGGGUGCGUAGGCGGUCUUCUAAGUCAGUUGUGAAAUACUUCAGCUUAACUGGAGAGGUGCAAUUGAUACUGGAAGACUUGAGUACUGAUGAGGUAGGCGGAAUGGACGGUGUAGCGGUGAAAUGCUUAGAUAUCGUCCAGAACACCGAUAGCGAAGGCAGCUUACUAAGGAGUAACUGACGCUGAGGCACGAAAGCGUGGGGAGCGAACAGG